CAUGGAGGGAGAGAAACUGCUGAAUAUGACUUAACUUCCUACGCAAAGAGAAGUGCAUGUAACAAUUCGCUUUGUCCUGCUACAUUUUUUUAAUAAAUUAUAUUGGCCUUGUCUACGAAGGCAAAAGUUGAGCAGUUUCUUGGAGGUUCCGCUGAGAUGACUAACCCCUGGGGUUGGGUCACGGAGCGUCAGCGUUAGGACUUCGCGGUUCAAGGACUCCUCAGUCCGCAGCAGCCCGAUUUGGGUUUCUGGGGUUCGUUGACCUGUGAUCUGUCUUCGCCUGCCUGUGGCUGACUCUUAGGCUUGCAUAUACAGGUAGUAGAAGCUCAGAAAAAAGCCCACCAUUGAAGAUUGCCGUCAAUACCAGCCCAGGGACCUAGUCCUGGUAAAGACCUUCAGGAGAAAGAACUGUUUGGAACCUCGAUGGGAGGGGCCUUUCCAAGUCCUGCUCACCACCCAUACGGCCGUGAAGGUUAAAGGACGUCCCUUGUGAAUCUACACAUCGCACGUCAAGCGGACACUGACCUCAGACGGAAGUGCUUGUGCAAGAACUUUAACUGAGCCAUCAGAUUGCUGACUCUGAUUUGGAUCCUGUCCUGCAUGGUCCUUGCGGGGGCAUGGACUACCAAUUCUGCGGUUCAACAAAUGCAGGCCGUAGCCUUGCAAGCUAAUCGGACUAAAUGUUGGAUUUGUACUAAUUUUCCUGUUAACCCCUCCUCCUCAGAGAUGCAUUUUCUGGCUUUCCCCUCAGAUUCCGCAUGGCCUCUAGGUAAUACAGGGGCCCUCAUUCAGCAAACGCCCAUUUGGAGAUGGGAGCCCACCUUUGUGGUUGUUAAGGGGGAGGCCUGGCUAUGCGUCAGAAGAAAUUAUACCAAGGGUAGCACUCGGGUGGGCGAGCUGCCAUUGGGUUCCUGUGCCUACCUUGCUGAUUCAAGCCAGCUAUCUAUACCCUCCCUCUCCUUGAGGAUCAAGACCCCUCUGAGGAUGAAGCCCGGUGGCUAGGAUACAUAGAACUUGGCUAAGGGUGGUGGAUUGUCCUUUUAGGACAAAAGGGGGGAAGUGUGAUGGCCUAGUCAAAAAGAGAACCCACUUAGUACUAAAAGGGUUAAUGGAGAAAUUGAAUUAAAUGCCUAGGCCUAAGAGAAAAAUACUGCAACCUUGAAAAAUAAUACCAUCUUGUUUGACCACUGUUGUAGAAUGAGCCCUGAGACAUUCCAUGUUGUUCUUUCUCAGGCCCAAUGUAAUCAAAGUUGUGAUAACCAAGUGUGUAGGCACCACACCUGUUGUGGUGGGAAUGGAAAUUAACUAAAGCAUGGAUUGGUCAGUUAACGUAUGCAAAUAAGCGGACUGAGAUGUGCAAAAUUUACUGAUUGGUUGUAAAAUGCUUUUAAGCAAGUGUUUGUGUAUUCUGCUU